UACAGAGGUCUCAAGCGUUGUUCGGAUUCAUUGGGCGUAAAGGGUGCGUAGGCGGCGCGGUAAGUCGGGUGUGAAAUCUUGGAGCUUAACUCCGAAACUGCAUUCGAUACUGCCGUGCUCGAGGACUGGAGAGGAGACUGGAAUUCAUGGUGUAGCAGUGAAAUGCGUAGAGAUCAUGAGGAAGACCAGUGGCGAAGGCGGGUCUCUGGACAGUUCCUGACACUGAGGCACGAAGGCCAGGGGAGCAAACGGG
rnacentral:rRNA from 1 species